rnacentral:rRNA from 1 species
ACACGACUACAUUAGAUACCCCGGUAGUCCUAGCCGUAAACGAUUCUCGCUAGGUGUCGGCCACGGUGCGACCGUUGUCGGUGCCGUAGGGAAGCCGUGAAGCGAGCCACCUGGGAAGUACGGUCGCAAGGCUGAAACUUAAAGGAAUUGGCGGGGGAGCACCGCAACGGGAGGAGCGUGCGGUUUAAUUGGAUUCAACACCGUAAACUCACCAGGGAAGACUGUUACAUGAAAGCCGAGUUGAAGACUCUGCUAGAUUUUCAG